UACGUAGGGUGCAAGCGUUUAAUCGGAAUUACUGGGCGUAAAGCGUGCGCAGGCGGUUGUGUAAGACAGAUGUGAAAUCCCCGGGCUCAACCUGGGAACUGCAUUUGUGACUGCACGGCUGGAGUGCGGCAGAGGGGAUGGAAUUCCGCGUGUAGCAGUGAAAUGCGUAGAUAUGCGGAGGAACACCGAUGGCGAAGGCAAUCCCCUGGGCCUGCACUGACGCUCAUGCACGAAGCGUGGGGAGCAAACAGG
rnacentral:rRNA from 1 species